GAAACUAAAGCUGCGAGCUACAAUGUCAAGAUCUGUGACAAUUUGGGACAACUUUGUACUAAUUCUUCCACAAACCAUACAACCAAUAAUAUCAGAAUACCUUCACGUUACCAAAAUAAGAGAAGGAAACUGAUUUGCAGAACUCGAUGCUACAGUAAAUCCAAAAAUAAAUUUAAGAUUUGCAGCGAUUUGAUAUGAAUAUU
rnacentral:lncRNA from 1 species